rnacentral:lncRNA from 1 species
UAUGUAGAACCCAAGGUUCCAAAGGAAGACACCCAACCUAUAAAGAAAGGUAUUUCACAUGUCUUGCAAGAACUUUAAUUGUCUGGCAACACAAUGUCCAGCAUUACCCAAUGUCACUGCUACAUCUUACUGCAGAACCCAAGAUUCCAGUGGAGGAGCCCAAAUCUAUAAAGAAAGGUAUUUCAUAUGUCUUGCAAGAACUUCAAUUGUCUGGCCACACAAUGUCCAGCAUUACCCAAUGUCACUGCUACAUCUCACUACAGAACCCAAGAUUCCAGUGGAGGAGCCCAAAUCUAUAAAGAAAGGUAUUUAGCAUGUCAUUCCAAAAUUGUAAUUAACUGCCUAAAGAACAUCCAGCAUUACACAAUGUCACUACCUUUUAUGUAGAACCCAAGGUUCCAAAGGAAGAAACCAAACCCAUAAAGAAAGGUAUUUCACAUGUCUUGCAAGAACUUUGUCUGGCAACACAAUGUCAAGCAUUACCCAAUGUCACUGCUACAUGUCACUGCAGAACCCAAGAUUCCAGAGGAGGAGCCCAAAUCUAUAAAGAAAGGUAUUUAUCAUGUCAUUCCAAAAUUGUUAUUAACUGUCAAAAGAACAUCCAGCAUUACCCACUGUCACUACCUUUUAUGUAGAACCCAAGGUUCCAAAGGAAGAAACCAAACCUAUCAAGAAAGAACCCAAGACUCCAAAGGUGGAAGCCAAACCUAUAAAGAAAGAAUCCAAGAUUCCAGAGGAGGAGCCCAAAUCUAUAAAGAAAGGUAUUUCAUAUGUCUUGCAAGAACUUCAAUUGUGUGGCCACACAAUGUCCAGCAUUACCCAAUGUCACUGCUACAUCUCACUGCAGAACCCAAGAUUCCAGAGGAGGAGCCCAAAUCUAUAAAGAAAGAACCCAAGAUUCCAGAGGAGGAGUCCAAAUCUAUAAAGAAAGAACCCAAGGUUCCAAAGGAAGACACCCAACCUAUAAAGAAAGAACCCAAGAUUCCAAAGGAGGAGCCCAAACCUAUAAAGAAAGGUAUUUAUAAUGUCAUUCCAAAAUUGUAA